AACGUAGGUGGCGAGCGUUAUCCGGAUUCAUUGGGCGUAAAGAGCUUGUAGGUGGUGCGAUAAGUUGGACGUGAAAACUCCGGGCUUAACUUGGAGAGGCCGUUCAAUACUGUUGUGCUAGAGGGCGUCAGAGGGAAGUGGAAUUCCUGGUGUAGCAGUGAAAUGCGUAGAUAUCAGGAGGAACACCCGUGGCGAAGGCGGCUUCCUGGGACGUACCUGACACUGAGAAGCGAAAGCUAGGGGAGCAAACGGGAGUAGAAACCCCGGUAGUCCUAGCUGUAAACGAUGGAUGCUAGGUGUGAGUGGAUCUAACCCCGCUCGUGCCGGAGCUAACGCGUUAAGCAUCCCGCCUGGGAACUACGAGCGCAAGCUUAAA
rnacentral:rRNA from 1 species